rnacentral:rRNA from 1 species
UACGUAGGGUGCGAGCGUUAAUCGAAAUUACUGGGCGUAAAGCGUGCGCAGGCGGUCUGUUAAGACCGAUGUGAAAUCCCCGGGCUUAACCUGGGAACUGCAUUGGUGACUGGCAGGCUUUGAGUGUGGCAGAGGGAGGUAGAAUUCCACGUGUAGCAGUGAAAUGCGUAGAGAUGUGGAGGAAUACCGAUGGCGAAGGCAGCCUCCUGGGCCAACACUGACGCUCAUGCACGAAAGCGUGGGGAGCAAACAGG